rnacentral:rRNA from 1 species
UGCAGAAGAAGCGCCGGCCGUCAUCCCUCACGCGGCGUGCUUAACACAUGCAAGUCGAGCGGAAAGGCCUCUUCGGGGGUACUCGAGCGGCGAACGGGUGAGUAACACGUGAGUAACCUGCCCUGGACUUUGGGAUAACCCUCGGAAACGGGGGCUAAUACCGGAUAUGACAUGCUCCCGCAUGGGAUGUGUGUGGAAAGUUUUUUCGGUCUGGGAUGGGCUCGCGGCCUAUCAGCUUGUUGGUGGGGUGAUGGCCUACCAAGGCGACGACGGGUAGCCGGCCUGAGAGGGCGACCGGCCACACUGGGACUGAGACACGGCCCAGACUCCUACGGGAGGCAGCAGUGGGGAAUAUUGCACAAUGGGCGAAAGCCUGAUGCAGCGACGCCGCGUGAGGGAUGACGGCCUUCGGGUUGUAAACCUCUUUCAGCAGGGACGAAGCGUAAGUGACGGUACCUGCAGAAGAAGCGCCGGCCAACUACGUGCCAGCAGCCGCGGUAAGACGUAGGGCGCGAGCGUUGUCCGGAUUUAUUGGGCGUAAAGAGCUCGUAGGCGGCUUGUCGCGUCGACUGUGAAAACCCGCGGCUCAACCGCGGGCCUGCAGCCGAUACGGGCAGGCUAGAGUUCGGUAGGGGAGACUGGAAUUCCUGGUGUAGCGGUGAAAUGCGCAGAUAUCAGGAGGAACACCGGUGGCGAAGGCGGGUCUCUGGGCCGAUACUGACGCUGAGGAGCGAAAGCGUGGGGAGCGAACAGGAUUAGAUACCCUGGUAGUCCACGCUGUAAACGUUGGGCGCUAGGUGUGGGGGGCCUCUCCGGUUCUCUGUGCCGCAGCUAACGCAUUAAGCGCCCCGCCUGGGGAGUACGGCCGCAAGGCUAAAACUCAAAGGAAUUGACGGGGGCCCGCACAAGCGGCGGAGCAUGCGGAUUAAUUCGAUGCAACGCGAAGAACCUUACCUGGGUUUGACAUCACUCGAAAACUCGCAGAGAUGUGGGGUCCUUCGGGGCGGGUGACAGGUGGUGCAUGGCUGUCGUCAGCUCGUGUCGUGAGAUGUUGGGUUAAGUCCCGCAACGAGCGCAACCCUCGUUCGAUGUUGCCAGCGCGUUAUGGCGGGGACUCAUCGAAGACUGCCGGGGUCAACUCGGAGGAAGGUGGGGAUGACGUCAAGUCAUCAUGCCCCUUAUGUCCAGGGCUUCACGCAUGCUACAAUGGCCGGUACAAAGGGUUGCGAUGCCGUGAGGUGGAGCGAAUCCCAAAAAGCCGGUCUCAGUUCGGAUCGGGGUCUGCAACUCGACCCCGUGAAGUCGGAGUCGCUAGUAAUCGCAGAUCAGCAACGCUGCGGUGAAUACGUUCCCGGGGCAUGAUGACGUCAAGUCAUCAUGCCCCUUAUGUCCAGGGCUUCACGCAUGCUACAAUG